rnacentral:rRNA from 1 species
AUGAACGCUGGCGGCGUGGAUAAGGCAUGCAAGUCGAACGGUUUUCUUUAUUGAAGAAGAUGCGAUUACAUCAAAUUAACAGAUAUUUUGAAAACAGUGGCGAACGAGCUAGUAACACCUUGGUACGUACCCGAAAGUUUGGUAUAGCUCGCCGAAAGGCGGGGCAAUCCCAAAUAGUCCCUUCAUCUAUCGGAUGAUAGGGUAAAGUAGCAAUACGCUUUCGGAUCGGCCUAGGUCCGAUCAGUUAGUUGGUGAGGUAAUGGCUCACCAAGACAAUGACCGGUAGGGG